rnacentral:misc_RNA from 1 species
GUCACAUCCUGUGAAUAUUGGUCAACUUCGUUGCAAGGUUCGGCAUGGACCUCUAUUUUACAACUGUAGCCUAACUCUGGGAUCAGAUGAAUGUGGUGAUGGGGAGGUUGUGGAGGUGCAUCUAUCCGAAAACGAUCAGGGUUUAGCAGCGGGACAAUUUGCAGCCUUCUACUAUGAUGAAAUUUGCUUGGGGUCAGGUGUGAUCUUGGACACUUGGGAUGAUAAGAGCUUCCCUGUUUGCACAAGAGCUCUUGAGAUUGCGCAGAUGGCAG